rnacentral:ncRNA from 1 species
GUGUUGUAUGAAAGGAGAGAAGGUUAGCACUCCGCUUGCCUAGGAUGGAAGAGGCCCUUAGGCCGGACAACAUGCAUGCAGUUAAGGCACUGCCACCUACUUUGUGACAUCUAACCAUUGUUUUGU